ensembl:lincRNA
AGAAAGUUUAGCUAAUAGGUUUUGAGUCAGUUUAUGUUAUUUAAAGCCUAUGUGAUGUGUUUUCUUAUAAUGUACUGUUAGCUGAUGUUGUUUUUUCACUCCUCAGUUGCUAGCUUGCAGAGAAGAAGAACGAGAUGACAAGACAACGAUAAAAUGUGAAACUUCCCCUCUCUCCUCUCCGAAGUCCCUUCAGCUAGACAGGCUGCACACAGGGGCGUUGCAAAUAGUCAGCCACGAGGACAUCAGGGACAUGCAAAAAUCAAAAAGUGCCCAGGAUGGUCCUGUGAGCAAUCCCAGUAGCAGUGACAGCAGGCAGGACUCGCCCCACAAAGCCCCAAAGAAGAAGGGCAUCAAGUCCUCCACUGGUCGUUUGUUGGGCAAAAAGGAAAAGGG